AUUGAACGCUGGCGGCAGGCCUAACACAUGCAAGUCGAGCGAGCGGCGGACGGGUGAGUAAUGUCUGGGAAACUGCCUGAUGGAGGGGGAUAACUACUGGAAACGGUAGCUAAUACCGCAUACCAUCAGAUGUGCCCAGAUGGGAUUGGCUAGUAGGUGGGGUAACGGCUCACUUGGGCGACGAUCCCUAGCUGGUCUGAGAGGUGGACCAGCAACACGGGAACGGAGCCACGGUCCAGACUCCUCCGGGAGGAGGCAGUGGGGAAUAUUGGACAAUGGGCGCAAGCCUGAUGCGGCCAGGCCGGGUGUGGGAAGAGGGCGUUCGGGUUGUAAAGCACUUUCAGCGGGGAGGCGUUACCCGCAGAAGAAGCACCGGCUAACUCCGUGCCAGCCGCCGCGGUAAUAC
rnacentral:rRNA from 1 species